rnacentral:rRNA from 1 species
AUUGAACGCUGGCGGUAGGCCUAACACAUGCAAGUCGAACGAGUGGCGGACGGGUGAGUAAUGCAUGGGAAUCUGCUCUAUGGUGGGGGAUAACUUCUGGAAACUUUCGCUAAUACCGCAUACCAUUGGAUGCGCCCAGUUGGGAUUAGCUAGUGGGCGGGGUAACGGCCCACCAAGGCGACGAUCCGUAGCUGGUCUGAGAGGAUGACCAGCCACACUGGAACUGAGACACGGUCCAGACUCCUACGGGAGGCAGCAGUGGGGAAUAUUGGACAAUGGGCGCAAGCCUGAUGCAGCCAUACCGCGUGGGUGAAGAAGGCCUUCGGGUUGUAAAGUACUUUUGUCGGGAAAGCGUUACCCAAAGAAGAAGCACCGGCUAACUCCGUGCCAGCAGCCGCGGUAAUUC